rnacentral:lncRNA from 1 species
GCCCGGCUGGGCCCUGCUGCACCCCGGGCGCCUCACCCACCACCCGCGGGUGCUGCCGCCCGCCGCCGGCACCCGCUACGCCCUGCUCGCCCUGCUCGACCCCUGAGCCCCCCGCCGCCGCCACCCAUGGGUGCUGCAAGGCGUGGACCCGCCACCUAUGGCAUGGACCCGCCACCUAUGGGUGCUGCGAGGGAUGGAUCCACCACCUAUGGGUGCUCCGUGGGAUGGACCCACCACCUAUGGGUGCUGCAAGGCAUGGACCCACCACCUAUGGGUGCUGCGAGGGAUGGACACGCCACCAGUUAUGGCAUGGACCCACCACCUAUGGGUGCUCCGUGGGAGGGACCCACCAGUUAUGGGUGCUGCAAGGGAUGGAUCCACCACCUAUGGGUGCUCCAUGGGAUGGACUCACCAGCUAUGGGUGCUGCAAGCCAUUGACCAGCCAGCUAUGGGUGCUGCAAGGCAUGGAUCCACCAGCUAUGGGUGCUGAAAGUUGUGGAUGGACCACCUAUGGGUGCUGCGAGGCAUGGAU